rnacentral:tRNA from 1 species
UAGAAUAUGGUGUACUUGGGUAGCACGGAGAUUUUUGAAUUCUUAGGAUUAGGUUCGAUUCCUAUUGUUCUAG